AUGGUCGACGAGGGCGAGGUGCAGGCCGUGGGUCUGAAGCAGUUGCUGCUGGACUACUACCAUGGCUAUACAGCGAUCAUGGGCGACGAGGUCCGAGAUAUGGCGGUCCGCGACGGUGAGACGGAGAUGAUGCACUCUUCAACAAUUCAGAGGUGGGGUUUUGAGAUGCGUCGGCGCCGGAGGAGUCGGAUCGAGAACUACGAGCCACUGGUGUGGCCAUCGUGCUCCCACGGCGACAAGGGCGUGGAAGUCGUUCGCUCCAUACUGAAACAGGCGACGGACAAGCCCAUCGAGGAGGCCUACCUCGAGGCAUUCCGCCGACUCCCCGCGGACGCCAUGCCGGACCUCGUCGAGUGCACUUAUCUCGGCGGCCACUGCAUCGGCAUCCUCGACCCCGUCUCCAACAUCAUCCUAAACAGCCUAAAUCUGCUCUGCCAUCGCCGUGCCGGCCUCUAUUCGCCACCCGAGUACCUGAUCCCGCCAGCACCUAUCAACCCUCAUAUCCGCAAAACGUGGUCAGGGAUUGCCUUUGACUCCUACUGUGCCCUCAUUGCAUUCAUGCAGGUUUAUUUCCGGUAUCUCUCCCAAGAGCAGGCCAGGUUCUGCAUCCACCUAUCUGGUGGUGACUUGCUUGUUGCCAUCUGCAUUGCUGAGAUGGAACUCAGACAGUCCAACACCAUCAUGCAGGAAAACCACAUCGCAGUCUGCCACUCCGAACUCUUCCGUGACCGGGCCAAGCUUGCCCUCCGCAUCGCAGCAAUCAAAGUCGAUCAUCCGAUGCCCGACGAUCUUUUGCUGCUCUUCCAGGAGCAGCCCACGGAGGCCAUGAGAUCGUUGCUGCUAACAUUGGAGGAAGGGCGCUGCCUAGGCGUCGAUGACGUGGAAACCUUCAUAAAGGUUUUGCACUACCAACACCUUAUGGUUCCAGCUAACCAGCACCUCACGUUGCCUCGUGCUCCAAGCAGCGGAACGGACUCCGAGUCCUGCCCUCGUUACUGUUUCAACCUCAAUGGCCAAGGAAGCAGCAUGGCAGCAACACUUACCUUCCAGCACCAGACAACAUUCAACCUUGCCAACUUGCGUUCAUCCAAGGCUAUAUUCAGCAAGAUCAGAUCCUCCAUCGGUCUCUUCCCGGGGUUCCACAUGCACACUCCGAUGGAGGUUGCCGAUGCAGAGCCCACGUGCCAGCACAUUGAGUCAAUUAAGAUGUCUCUCGUCGACAACAUACAUGCAUUUUAUGUCGAAGCUCUCGCCAAGCUGCCAAGCUCUCAUCCCCAAAGGCUUCUCCGUGGUAUACUGGUGGCAGGGCACUGCUAUGGCAUGUUGGACCCUGUCUCCAAGCUCUCAUCCCCAAAGGCUUCUCCGUGGUAUACAGCAUCCAUCCUGACCAAGAUACUUAGAGAUGGAGGAAACCCUCUCUGUGAUGCCACCAUCAUAAAAUUACACCUAGUGUGCAAAGACAAAUUAUCAUUGCCAUUGUAUGGGAUUUCUCCAAAAAAUAUUGGUAUGGCAAGGUUUCCGGAGAUUACAGCUAUGAAGCAGAGGUUGGAACAGAAGCAAAUCUUUCUUCGUGGAGAGCUUGACGAACUCCUCCGCCUCUACGCCAUUCAACAUCCUUGGGAAACAUUGUAUAAUCUGGAAAUGAUCUGCGGUGUGGAGGAACAUAGGGUGUUGUAUUCUUAUUGCUACCAUGUUAACUUCCUGGCGGCUCGAGAGGGUUCAGCACCACGAGUCCUCUUUUUUGCUCAACUUCAGAUGUCAAAAUCUCAGAGCGAACAAUCUGGUGGUGGUUCGUUUUGCUGCCCGCUUCCUUAUUAUGAUGCCAACAAUCCAUUUCCUGGACGGUGCUCAAUUUGUGAGGCCGGUAUGGGAAAAAUAAUACACCCUGCUUCUGGUGCUCACAUCGGCCCGGUACACACAGAACCUACAAGUACAGUGGAUUAUGUAUACGCGAAUGCUCCAGUGUCAAUGAAAUGCUAUCAGACUGAUAUGGAUGACCUUGUUGAGUCCGAGUUAACCUACUGUACUGAACCAUUGGAUUACUUUUCUACUUAG
rnacentral:rRNA from 1 species